AUAAAGUUUUAUUUUGACUUUUAUAAUUAAGUUAUUUACUAUUUAUAUGUAAAUUUAUGUGUGUUUAAUUUAAAAUUUAAAAAGUAGGCAUUAUUAAGCGCAGUAUGUAAAUUUAAAAAUUUACGAAAGUAAGAUUUAGAGAUAAUUAAGAGUUUUGACUAAUCUUGUGCCAGCAGUAGCGGUUAUACGAGGAAGGCAAUUAUUUAUUAUUAAUUUAUAGUUUAUUGGUUAUUAUUGUUAUUUUAAAUAGUAUAAUUAUUAAGUGAAAUUUUUAUUUUAUAUUAUAAUAAUUAUAAAUAUAUUUGAAACUAUGAAAUUUUAGUGUUAAACUAGGAUUAGAUACCCUAUUAUUCUUUAAUGUUAAAUUUUAAUUAAGUUAUUAUUAGAUAUGAUCUUAAAAGCUUAAAAAUUUGGCGGUAUUUUAGUCUUUUCAGAGGAACCUGUCCUUUAAUCGAUAGUCCACGAUAAAAUAAACUUAUUUUAAUUAAUUUAUAUAUCGUUGUAGUUGAGUAUUUCAUUAGAAUUUUAAUAUUCAUGAUUAAUAAUUAUUAAAUAAAUCAGAUCAAGGUGUAGUUUAUAAAUAAGGAUGAGAUGGGUUACAAUAAAUGUUAUUUAUUAUGGAUUUAUAAUUUAAAAUUAUAAUGAAGGUGGAUUUGUAAGUAAUGAUAAUUAUUUUAUUAUUAUGAUUUUGGCUCUAAAAUAUGCACAUAUUGCCCGUCGCUUUCAAUUAAGAUGAAAUAAGUCGUAACAAAGUAGAUGUACUGGAAAGUGUUUCUGGAAUCAA
rnacentral:ncRNA from 1 species